GAAGCGAGCCAGACCGCCGCUGGCACGAGAUCCGAGAGGAUGUGCUGGAGGAAGGUCCGGACUGCGCAGGGCGGCGUAGCAGCUAACGGCUGUCCACCGUGAGGUGAGGAUCAGAGCAACAGAGACGAGUCGGUGCCGCGAGGCAUCGGGUGAAACGGGCAAUCUCUACGCGCAGCAAUACCAAGUAGGCACACGUUGAUCCGGCCCGGAGAGUGUGCGGGUAGGUAGCACCGAGCCGCUGCAGCGAUGCACGGCCCAGAGGAAUGGCGGUCACGGCAGGCCUUCGCAGGAAGACCGGCCGCACAGAAUCCGGCCUAUCGGCUCGCUUCACAC
rnacentral:RNase_P_RNA from 1 species